GAUGAACGCUGGCGGCGUGCCUAAUACAUGCAAGUCGAGCGAACAGAUAAGGAGCUUGCUCCUUUGACGUUAGCGGCGGACGGGUGAGUAACACGUGGGUAACUUACCUAUAAGACUGGAAUAACUCCGGGAAACCGGGGCUAAUGCCGGAUAACAUGUUGAACCGCAUGGUUCUACAGUGAAAGGCGGCUUUGCUGUCACUUAUAGAUGGACCCGCGCCGUAUUAGCUAGUUGGUGAGGUAACGGCUCACCAAGGCAACGAUACGUAGCCGACCUGAGAGGGUGAUCGGCCACACUGGAACUGAGACACGGUCCAGACUCCUACGGGAGGCAGCAGUAGGGAAUCUUCCGCAAUGGGCGAAAGCCUGACGGAGCAACGCCGCGUGAGUGAUGAAGGUCUUCGGAUCGUAAAACUCUGUUAUUAGGGAAGAACAAAUGCGUAAGUAACUGUGCGCGUCUUGACGGUACCUAAUCAGAAAGCCACGGCUAACUACGUG
rnacentral:rRNA from 1 species